GUCUCAGUUUCAGCCGGAGUGAAAAAGAUCAAGGAACCAGCCUCUUAUCAGAAUAUGGCAGCCUCUUCUCAACAAACCACUUUUAACACACAGCAUGCCAUUUUCAGCCAGACUGCCCAUGGCUGAUGCAAAUUGGCAUACAAGUCAAUGGAGCUAUGCUAUUUACCCCAGCUGAGGCGCGGGCUCAUUAUAUGCAACAGAAAAGAUCAGAUGUCUGUCCUCUUUCCCUCUCCUACUGGAAGAAUUGGGUCAUAAUCACAAAUAUUUUAAACUAAUUUGAAAUUAGAAAUCAAUACUUAGUUUGGAUUCUCCUCUCCAAAAGCUGCAGACUUCUCCUUGGAGACAGGACUAAAGAAUAUGGAUAAACAGAGGGAUGAAACCCCCAUGAGAUCAAACCCUUCCAAGGAGCUGUCAAUUUACGUGCUUCCUUUCUGGACUCAAUGGAUUUUAAGGGAAUGGUAAAACCAAAGGGCCAGUUGUAACAUACAGUGGUCACACUUUUUAAUAAAGCAAACAAAAAACACUUAACUUUUAGGGCUAAAACCAAUUCCAGCUGCAUCCUCGUGUCACGAAUGGGGAAUAUCACUCCUUACGGAACAAGCUUUUAAAUGGAACAGUCCUUCGAGUAUAAUCAUUGCAGCUGCAACCGUGGUCCCUGGAGUUAGUGAUACUGACCUCAUCAUGUGACCCCUGACCCCACUGAAGUGACGGGAGCCUUGCCAUUGACUUCAGUGGGGCCAGGAAUUCCAUAUGGAGUAUUUUGUAACUUUGACCCCUGUCAUGGAACUGGGGCCAGGAAAUAAAGACUAGCCUCCUACCAACACUCCUUGUGUUAUAGCUUUAUUAUAAUAGCUAGGCUUUAACAAAUAUACCAGAAAGAAAGUAAAGGCCCAUCGUUACAAAAAGGGAUAGACUCCCAUUUUCAGUGUAUCU